UAGGGAAUCUUCCACAAUGGACGCAAGUCUGAUGGAGCAACGCCGCGUGAGUGAAGAAGGUUUUCGGACCGUAAAGCUCUGUUGUUGGUGAAGAAGGAUAGAGGUAGUAACUGGCCUUUAUUUGACGGUAAUCAACCAGAAAGUCACGGCUAACUACGUGCCAGCAGCCGCGGUAAUACGUAGGUGGCAAGCGUUGUCCGGAUUUAUUGGGCGUAAAGCGAGCGCAGGCGGAAGAAUAAGUCUGAUGUGAAAGCCCUCGGCUUAACCGAGGAAUUGCAUCGGAAACUGUUUUUCUUGAGUGCAGAAGAGGAGAGUAGAACUCCAUGUGUAGCGGUGGAAUGCGUAGAUAUAUGGAAGAAUGCCAGUGGCGAAGGCGGCUCUCUGGUCUGCAACUGACGCUGAGGCUCGAAAGCAUGGGUAGCGAACAGGAUUAGAUCCCUGGUAGUCCAUGCCNUAAACGAUGAGUGCUAAGUGUUGGGAGGCUUCCGCCUCUCAGUGCUGCAGCUAACGCAUUAAGCACUCCGCCUGGGGGAGUACGACCGCAAGGUUGAAAC
rnacentral:rRNA from 1 species